CCCGCUGAACUUAAGCAUAUCAAUAAGCGGAGGAAAAGAAACUAACAAGGAUUCCCCUAGUAACGGCGAGUGAAGCGGGAAAAGCUCAAAUUUAAAAUCUGGCAGGUUAUCCUGUCCGAGUUGUAGUUUCAAGAAGCGUUUUCGGUGCGCGUCUGGGUAUAAGUUCUUUGGAACAGGACAUCAUAGAGGGUGAGAAUCCCGUUUAUGACCUGGAACAGCGUUCUAUGUGAUACGUUUUCUAAGAGUCAGGUUGUUUGGGAAUGCAGCCUAAAAUGGGUGGUAAAUUUCAUCUAAAGCCAAAUAUUGGCGAGAGACCGAUAGCGAACAAGUACCGUGAGGGAAAGAUGAAAAGAACUUUGAAAAGAGAGUUAAACAGUACGUGAAAUUGUUGAAAGGGAAACGUUUGAAAUUAGUCGUGCGGGCGGGUAAUCAGCUUGGCCUUUGGGUCUUGUGCACUUACUCGUAUCGCAGGCCAGCGUCGGUUUUGUUUGCCGGAUAAAUGCCAAUGGAAUGUAGCUCAACCUUUUACGAGGAGGGGUGUUAUAGCCCUGGUAAAUACGGCGGUCGAGACCGAGGUCUGCAGUUGAUGCCUCUCGGGGCUGGGGACUCCAUCGCUCAUUCGCACCCGCGCCUAGACAGCUUGCUGACUAGGUGUGUGGUCUGUGGGUGACACGGUGGCCUACCACACAUCGACUUGGGUCGCUGGCGUAAUGGUUUUAAAUGACCCGUCUUGAAACACGG
rnacentral:rRNA from 1 species